rnacentral:rRNA from 1 species
GAUGAACGCUGGCGGCAUGCCUAACACAUGCGAGUCGAUCGGUAAGGCUCUUCGGAGUACACGAGAGGCGGACGGCUGAGUAACGCGUAGGAACACACCCUGCAGUGAGGGAUAAGACACCGAAAGGUGUUCUAAUACCGCAUACGGUCUUCGGAUUAAAGCAUUUAUGCGCUGAAGGAGUGGCCUGCGUCAUAUUAGAUAGUUGGUGAGGUAAUGGCUCACCAAGUCGAUGAUGUGUAGCUGGUCUGAGAGGAUGAUCAGCCAGACUGGAACUGAGGCACGGUCCAGACUCCUACGGGAGGCAGCAGUGAGGAAUAUUUCACAAUGAGCGAAAGCUUGAUGGAGCAAUGCCGCGUGCAGGAUGAAGGCCCUCGGGUUGUAAACUGCUUUUAUAAGAGAAGAUUAUGACGGUAACUUAUGAAUAAGGGACGGCUAACUACGUG